rnacentral:rRNA from 1 species
ACUCGGGAGGCUGCAGUGGGGAAUAUUGGACAAUGGGCGAAAGCCUGAUCCAGCCAUGCCGCGUGUGUGAAGAAGGCCUUCGGGUUGUAAAGCACUUUCAGUGGGGAAGAAAGCCUUGGGGCUAAUACCCUCGAGGAAGGACAUCACCCACAGAAGAAGCACCGGCUAACUCCGUGCCAGCAGCCGCGGUAAUACGGAGGGUGCGAGCGUUAAUCGGAAUUACUGGGCGUAAAGCGCGCGUAGGCGGUCUGAUAAGCCGGUUGUGAAAGCCCCGGGCUCAACCUGGGAACGGCAUCCGGAACUGUCAGGCUAGAGUGCAGGAGAGGAAGGUAGAAUUCCCGGUGUAGCGGUGAAAUGCGUAGAGAUCGGGAGGAAUACCAGUGGCGAAGGCGGCCUUCUGGACUGACACUGACGCUGAGGUGCGAAAGCGUGGGUAGCAAACAGGAUUAGAUACCCCAGUAGUC